rnacentral:rRNA from 1 species
CCCUUAGAUGUUCUGGGCCGCACGCGUGCUACACUGAGUGGAUCAGCGGGUCAGGUUGCGCGAAAGCGUUUCCUAAUCUUUAAAUCCGCUCGUGAUGGGGAUCGACGGUUGCAAUUUUCUGUCAUGAACGAGGAAUACCUUGUAAGCGCGGGUCAUCAUCCCGCGCUGAAUACGUCCCUGCCCUUUGUACACACCGCCCGUCGCUCCUACCGAUUGAGUGGUCCGGUGAGGCUUUGGGAUCUGAGCGGAAAGAGCGUUUCGCUGUUUCUGCUCGGAAAGCUCAGUCGAACCUUAUCAUUUAGAGGAAGGAGAAGUCGUAACA